rnacentral:rRNA from 1 species
AGGAUUAGAUACCCUGGUAGUCCACGCUGUAAACGAUGUCGAUUUGGAGGUUGUUCCCUUGAGGAGUGGCUUCCGAAGCUAACGCGUUAAAUCGACCGCUGGGGAGUACGGCCGCAAGGUUAAAACUCAAAUGAAUUGACGGGGGCCCGCACAAGCGGUGGAGCAUGUGGUUUAAUUCGAUGCAACGCGAAGAACCUUACCUACUCUUGACAUCCAGAGAAUUUAGCAGAGAUGCUUUAGUGCCUUCGGGAACUCUGAGACAGGUGCUGCAUGGCUGUCGUCAGCUCGUGUUGUGAAAUGUUGGGUUAAGUCCCGCAACGAGCGCAACCCUUAUCCUUUGUUGCCAGCACGUUAUGGUGGGAACUCAAAGGAGACUGCUGGUGAUAAACCGGAGGAAGGUGGGGAUGACGUCAAGUCAUCAUGGCCCUUACGAGUAGGGCUACACACGUGCUACAAUGGCGUAUACAAAGAGAAGCGACCUCGCGAGAGCAAGCGGAACUCAUAAAGUACGUCGUAGUCCGGAUUGGAGUCUGCAACUCGACUCCAUGAAGUCGGAAUCGCUAGUAAUCGUAGAUCAGAAUGCUACGGUGAAUACGUUCUCGGGCCUUGUACACACCGCCCGUCACACCAUGGGAGUGGGUUGCAAAAGAAGUAGGUAGCUUAACCUUCGGGAGGGCGCUUACCACUUUGUGAUUCAUGACUGGGGUGAAGUCGUAACAAGGUAACCA